CUUACACAUGCAAGUCGAGCGGAAAGGCCUUCGGGGUACUCGAAGCGGCGAACGGGUGAGUAACACGUGAGUAACCUGCCCCUGACUCUGGGAUAAGCCUGGGAAACCGGGUCUAAUACCGGAUACGACCAUUUCUCGCAUGUGAUGGUGGUGGAAAGUUUUUUCGGUUGGGGAUGGGCUCGCGGCCUAUCAGCUUGUUGGUGGGGUGAUGGCCUACCAAGGCGACGACGGGUAGCCGGCCUGAGAGGGCGACCGGCCACACUGGGACUGAGACACGGCCCAGACUCCUACGGGAGGCAGCAGUGGGGAAUAUUGCGCAAUGGGCGGAAGCCUGACGCAGCGACGCCGCGUGGGGGAUGACGGCCUUCGGGUUGUAAACCUCUUUCAGCAGGGACGAAGUUGACGUGUACCUGUAGAAGAAGCGCCGGCUAACUACGUGCCAGCAGCCGCGGUAAUACGUAGGGCGCAAGCGUUGUCCGGAAUUAUUGGGCGUAAAGAGCUCGUAGGUGGCUUGUCGCGUCUGCCGUGAAAGCCCGUGGCUUAACUACGGGUCUGCGGUGGAUACGGGCAGGCUAGAGGCUGGUAGGGGCAAGCGGAAUUCCUGGUGUAGCGGUGAAAUGCGCAGAUAUCAGGAGGAACACCGGUGGCGAAGGCGGCUUGCUGGGCCAGUUCUGACGCUGAGGAGCGAAAGCGUGGGGAGCGAACAGGAUUAAUACCCUGGUAUCCACGCUGUAAACGUUGGGCGCUAGGUGUGGGGGUCUUCCACGAUUCUGUGCCCGUAGCUAACGCAUUAAGCGCCCCGUCCUGGGGAGUACGGCCGCAAAGGCUAAAUCUCAAAGAAUGAACGUG
rnacentral:rRNA from 1 species